GAUGAACGCUGGCGGCGUGCUUAACACAUGCAAGUCGAACGGAAAGGCUCCUGCUUGCAGGGGUACUCGAGUGGCGAACGGGUGAGUAACACGUGGGUGAUCUGCCCUGCACUUCGGGAUAAGCCUGGGAAACUGGGUCUAAUACCGGAUAGGACGAUGGUUUGGAUGCCAUUGUGGAAAGUUUUUCGGUGUGGGAUGAGCUCGCGGCCUAUCAGCUUGUUAGUGGGGUAAUGGCCUACCAAGGCGUCGACGGGUAGCCGGCCUGAGAGGGUGUACGGCCACAUUGGGACUGAGAUACGGCCCAGACUCCUACGGGAGGCAGCAGUGGGGAAUAUUGCACAAUGGGCGCAAGCCUGAUGCAGCGACGCCGCGUGGGGGAUGACGGCCUUCGGGUUGUAAACUCCUUUCGCUAGGGACGAAGCGCAAGUGACGGUACCUGGAGAAGAAGCACCGGCUAACUACGUG
rnacentral:rRNA from 1 species